AACCUCCACCGAAUAUUCCACAGAGUACUCUGCAGAUUGAUCCGUGUCUGUUGUAUGGAUCCGGUUCACAGACAUUUUGGUGUAAUAAAGCUGAAGUCCAGUCUGCUGCCAUGGUGGACCAACAGAAUCUUGAGCCAAAGCAAGUCCUCUGUUACUGUUGCUAAGAUGAAACCAAAGUAACUGUCAGCUCGCAACAAUGUCUUGGGAAAUGUGGCUACUGUGGAGUGAAGAGGUGAUUGUUAAUUGUUAUUUAAGCCUGACUGCAGCAGACAGCUCUCGCUCUGAUGCUCGGCUGCCUUGCUGCUGCAGCUCUCUGUCCCCUUUCCCUACAGGCACACUGUUUGUUUUGGUUAUGUUACGUUAGUUCCUUGUUUUUUGCUUUCAUGCACCCUACAAUACACUCUCCGCUCAUGCAACACAUUAUUUCACUGAUCACUGAUUUCCAUACCCCAUAUUGUAGAUAUGUCUAGUGUGUCUCCCUUUUGUUGUGGCCACUUGAACCAGGUCAUAACAAUGUUCAUGAGAUUAAAACUGAAUGUAGGUUUAUUUGUGCUGAACUCCAGAGAUAGUGUCUGAUGUAGUUGAAAACAAAAAAGUACUGUGAACAACUCAACACAUCAGAGUGUCCUUUUCAGCUAUGAUCCCUUCAAUGUACUGCUGUACCUGUGGUCAUUUCAUUAAA